UACAUAGAUAUAGGAAGAUGUGGUGUGAGUGCCAAUGAGACAACUCUCCAUCAAAAUAACAAUUUAUAAAAGUAAACCAUUAUAGGUCAAUGUACGGCCUUCAACACGGAGCCUUGGCUCACACCGAACAACAAGCUAUAAAGGGCCCCAAAAUUACUAGUGUAAAACCAUUCAAACGGGAAAACCAACAGUCUAGUCUAUAUAAAAA
rnacentral:lncRNA from 1 species